rnacentral:rRNA from 1 species
AUUGAACGCUGGCGGCAUGCUUUACACAUGCAAGUCGAACGGUAACAGGCCUUCGGGUGCUGACGAGUGGCGAACGGGUGAGUAAUGCAUCGGAACGUACCCAGAGGUGGGGGAUAACGCAGCGAAAGCUGUGCUAAUACCGCAUGUGAUCUGAGGAUGAAAGCGGGGGACCGAGCAGCAAUGUUUGGCCUCGCGCCUUUGGAGCGGCCGAUGUCGGAUUAGCUAGUUGGUGGGGUAAAGGCCUACCAAGGCGACGAUCCGUAGCUGGUCUGAGAGGACGACCAGCCACACUGGGACUGAGACACAGCCCAGACUCCUACGGGAGGCAGCAGUGGGGAAUUUUGGACAAUGGGCGCAAGCCCGAUCCAGCAAUGCCGCGUGCGGGAAGAAGGCCUUCGGGUUGUAAACCGCUUUUGGCAGGAACGAAACGGUGUCCGCUAAUACCGGGCGCUAAUGACGGUACCUGCAGAAUAAGCACCGGCUAACUACGUG